rnacentral:rRNA from 1 species
UACGAAGGGGGCUAGCGUUGUUCGGAUUUACUGGGCGUAAAGCGCACGUAGGCGGAUUGGUCAGUUAGGGGUGAAAUCCUGGAGCUCAACUCCAGAACUGCCUUUAAUACUGCCAGUCUCGAGUCCGGAAGAGGUAAGUGGAACUCCUAGUGUAGAGGUGGAAUUCGUAGAUAUUGGGAGGAACACCAGUGGCGAAGGCGGCUCACUGGACCGGAACUGACGCUGAGGCGGCGAAAGCGUG